CCCGUCCCCGCCGGCCGCGCCAAACUCUAAAUUUGCAAAGCGGACUGCACGUUCUGAUUUAAAACAAAAAACAAGUAAAAACUUUUAACAACGGAUCUCUUGGUUCUGGCAUCGAUGAAGAACGCAGCGAAAUGCGAUAAGUAAUGUGAAUUGCAGAAUUCAGUGAAUCAUCGAAUCUUUGAACGCACAUUGCGCCCGGCAGCAAUCUGCCGGGCAUGCCUGUCCGAGCGUCAUUUCUCCCCUCGAGCGCGGCUAGCCCUACGGGGCCUGCCGCCGCCCGGUGUUGGGGCUCUACGGGUUGGGGCUCGUCCCCCCCGCAGUCCCCGAAAUGUAGUGGCGGUCCAGCCGCGGCGCCCCCUGCGUAGUAGAUCCUACAUCUCGCAUCGGGUCCCGGCGAAGGCCAGCCGUCGAACCUUCUUACUCAUGGUUUGACCUCGGAUCAGGUAGGGUUACCCGCUGAACUUAAGCAUAUCAAUAA
rnacentral:sRNA from 1 species